rnacentral:rRNA from 1 species
GACCAGACUCCUACGGGAGGCAGCAGUGGGGAAUAUUGCACAAUGGGGGAAACCCUGAUGCAGCGACGCCGCGUGAGCGAUGAAGUAUUUCGGUAUGUAAAGCUCUAUCAGCAGGGAAGAAAAUGACGGUACCUGACUAAGAAGCCCCGGCUAACUACGUGCCAGCAGCCGCGGUAAUACGUAGGGGGCAAGCGUUAUCCGGAUUUACUGGGUGUAAAGGGAGCGUAGACGGCUGUGCAAGCCAGAUGUGAAAGCCCGGGGCUCAACCCCGGGACUGCAUUUGGAACUGUGUGGCUGGAGUGUCGGAGAGGCAGGCGGAAUUCCUAGUGUAGCGGUGAAAUGCGUAGAUAUUAGGAGGAACACCAGUGGCGAAGGCGGCUUACUGGACUGUAACUGACGUUGAGGCUCGAAAGCGUGGGGAGCAAACAGGAUUAGAUACCCUAGUAC